UCUCCUACGGGGGGCAGCAGUGAGGAAUAUUGGUCAAUGGCCGGAAGGCUGAACCAGCCAAGUCGCGUGAGGGAAUAAGGCCCUAUGGGUCGUAAACCUCUUUUGUCAGGGAGCAAAGGCGUCCACGAGUGGACGAAAGGAGAGUACCUGAAGAAAAAGCAUCGGCUAACUCCGUGCCAGCAGCCGCGGUAAUACGGAGGAUGCGAGCGUUAUCCGGAUUUAUUGGGUUUAAAGGGAGCGUAGAUGGGUUGUUAAGUCAGUUGUGAAAGUUUGCGGCUCAACCGUAAAAUUGCAAUUGAUACUGG
rnacentral:rRNA from 1 species